UACGUAGGAGGCGAGCGUUGUCCGGAGUUACUGGGCGUAAAGCGCACGCAGGCGGUCAGAUCAGUCUGGAGUGACAGUCGUCGGCUUAACCGACGAAGUGUUCUGGAAACUGUCUGACUUGAGGGCUUCAGAGGGACACGGAAUUCCGGGUGGAGUGGUGAAAUGCGUAGAGAUCCGGAGGAACACCAAAGGCGAAGGGCAGUGUCCUGGGGAGUAC
rnacentral:rRNA from 1 species